GAUGAACGCUGGCGGCGUGCCUAAUACAUGCAAGUCGAGCGAAGCGGGGACGGGUGAGUAACACGUGGAUAACCUCCUAUAAGCCUGGGAUAACUUCGGGAAACCGGAGCUAAACCGGAUACUUAUAGUUGAAUUCGCGCUUCAUUAGCUGGUUGGUAAGGUAACGGCUUACCAGGGCAACGAUGCAUAUCCGACCUGAGAGGGUGAUCGGCCACACGGGACCUGAGACCCGGUCCAGACUCCUACGGGAGGCAGCAGUAGGGAAUCUUCCGCAAGGGGCGAAAGCCUGACGGGGCAACGCCGCGGUAGUGAGGAAGGUCUUCGGGUCGUAAAACUCGGUUAUUGGGGAAGCGGUACCUAAGCAGAAAGCCACGGCUAACUACGUGCCAGCAGCCGCGGUAAUUC
rnacentral:rRNA from 1 species